ACUUCCAAAGGAUAAUAGUUCAUCCGUCGGUCUUAGGAACCGAAAACUCUUGGUGCAACUCCAAGUGGUAGUU
rnacentral:tRNA from 1 species